GACGAACGCUGGCGGCGUGCUUAACACAUGCAAGUCGAACGGAAAGGCCCUGCUUUUGUGGGGUGCUCGAGUGGCGAACGGGUGAGUAACACGUGAGUAACCUGCCCUUGACUUUGGGAUAACUUCAGGAAACUGGGGCUAAUACCGGAUAGGAGCUCCUGCUGCAUGGUGGGGGUUGGAAAGUUUCGGCGGUUGGGGAUGGACUCGCGGCUUAUCAGCUUGUUGGUGGGGUAGUGGCUUACCAAGGCUUUGACGGGUAGCCGGCCUGAGAGGGUGACCGGCAACAUUGGGACUGAGAUACGGCCCAGACUCCUACGGGAGGCAGCAGUGGGGAAUAUUGCACAAUGGGCGGAAGCCUGAUGCAGCAACGCCGCGUGAGGGAUGACGGCCUUCGGGUUGUAAACCGCUUUCGCCUGUGACGAAGCGUGAGUGACGGUAAUGGGUAAAGAAGCACCGGCUAACUACGUG
rnacentral:rRNA from 1 species